UUCUUGGUGGCUCAGAUGGUAAAGAAUCUGCCUGCAAUGCAGGAGACCCAGGUUUGAUCCCUGGGUGGGGAA
rnacentral:tRNA from 1 species